CUGCACAUUACAGAAUCCGAGGCCCUCAAGAUUUAUCCGUAGCCCUCGUGUAGCCCACGAUUCCAUAUUUUUUAUUGGGAUUGAAGAGUAACGUUUGUGCUGUAUCCCUCUAUUUCA
rnacentral:lncRNA from 1 species